rnacentral:tRNA from 1 species
AUUCAAAUAGUUUAUUAAAAAUAUUGGUUUGUGGGGCCAAAGAUACAGUUAUUUCUGUUUUGAAUA